UACGUAGGUCCCGAGCGUUGUCCGGAUUUACUGGGUGUAAAGGGAGCGUAGGCGGCCUGGCAAGCCUGAUGUGAAAUACCGGGGCCCAACCCCGGGGCUGCAUUGGGAACUGCCAGGCUGGAGUGCCGGAGAGGCAGGCGGAAUUCCUAGUGUAGCGGUGAAAUGCGUAGAUAUUAGGAGGAACACCAGUGGCGAAGGCGGCCUGCUGGACGGUGACUGACGCUGAGGCUCGAAAGCGUGGGGAGCAAACAGG
rnacentral:rRNA from 1 species